AUGGCCUGGUCCCCGCUCCUCCUCAGCCUCCUACUGCACAGGGUCCUGGGCCCAGUCCGUGCUGACUCAGCCGCCCUCUGUGUCUGGAGCACUGGGCCAGAAGGUCACCAUCUCCUGCACUGGAAGCAGCUCCAACAUCGGGUAUGUGAGCUGGUACCAACAGCUCCCAGGAAAAGCCCCCAGAACCAUCAUCUAUGGUAAUAGCAACCGACCCUCAGGGGCUGAUGCUCAGGAAUCCCAGGCGGAGUCUUUGUCCCCAUGGGCAGCUCAGCCGCCACCACCUCUGGGCUCCAGUCAGUGUGGGAGGCGGAUCAGUACAUUGAAUCUGGGACCCCAGCCUCAGGGCGGCUCCCACGGAGCACGUGGCCCAUGGGGGCUGUGA